rnacentral:lncRNA from 1 species
CCCAAAUCCUAUAAAACAGCCCCACCCCUAUCUCCUUUCACUGACUCUCUUUUUGGACUUAGCCCACCUGCACCCAGGGGAAAUAAACAGCCUUGUUGCUCACACAAAGCCUGUUUGGUGGUCUCUUCACACGGACGUGUGUGACAAGGAACACCCUCCUUGAGCACAGGGGGAGGGUGAAUAUCAGAACUGAAUCUGACUUCUGACAACAUAGGAGCUGAAGGGACCUUGGAUGUUGGGUAAGCAGUUCCCACUGUCUGUCACAAGCCCUAAUAAAAUACAAGUAAGAGAAAAGAACAAAACUGGGGCAAUCUAAUCAAGAAAGGCUUUCUGGAAUGCAUGAGGCCCCAGCGAGAUCUAAAAUUCCUAGAUGGACUUGGUGUUGUGGAAGCAAGACAGCAGUCGGGCAAAGGAGAGACAGGAAGCAAAUGAAUUCUACCUUGCCAACAAUGGGAAACAGACAUACUUAAUGUGAGUAGAGAGGUAGCCUUGGCCAGGAAAGUUUGUUUGAAGAUCCUGGUCUGUCUUGACUUUAAAUCACUUGCCUUUGGAAUGGAAGAGAACAGACAUCUCAUCAAAUGAACCAAUCUGAAUGCAAGGAGCACCCGAAUCCAUCCCCACUCAGGAAUCCUGGUUACAGAUGCUAAAAGAUGUCUUUGACAGUGAACAGUGGGUCAUAAGAUCUAUUUCUGCCUCCUGUCUGUGACUCACUGGAUGACUCAAGGUGAAUCUCUCCCCAUUUCUGAGUAUCUGGCCCCCAUCCAUGAAGAACAGAAGAUCACAUCAGUAUUUCCCUUCGGCAAGGUUGGCCCCCGCUGCAGCAACUGUGCAAAGACCACCAGACUGCCCUCUCUGCCAGCUUACUCUUCAGCCUUUCUGGCUCUUUCUCCCACUUCCACAUCCCUGCUUCAUUUUUCUUUUUCUCCUUUUGCAAAUAGCAUUGCUCCAAAGCAACCCAGGCACGUGUCUUGGGGACAGCGCUGCGAGCUACCCCUGAGCUGUGGGGAGCAGGCCCAAGAUUGUUUGCUAUUAGCAACUCCUGUUUGCAGGAUAAAUAAAGCGAACCUGAGUGCAGGCUCCUGUGGGCUGGGACAUUUUCAUUCUGCAGCAGGUCAGCUUCCAUUCCACUAGGGGGCUUUGAAUGUUAAUAGGCAUUUCUUUCCAGGUACCCUUCUCCUUUCUCUACAGUGCACCAGUCCCUGUGGGACCUUCCAUUGGCAUCCUACGGAGAGAUUAUUACUCUUUUCAUUGUUUUCCUUACAAAUUAGUUUCUGGAUUUAAUGGCUUUGGUUGCUGAGCAGAUUUUGGAAAUUGGGGCAGAUGGUGGGGUGGGGUGAUCUGCAGAGCCCAUUAUGGGCACUGGGUUAUUGACUGCUUGGGAUUUAAGGUGGAAUUAACGCUUUCCUGUUUCUUGGGGAAUUUUGCGAUGGGGUUGGACCUUCUUUUCCCUUAGAAGGAAUUGUGUUUGUUGUUAUUGCAUGUUUAAGAAGCUUCUAGAAAUUGUAGCUCUGGAAUACAAUAGGUAGAGAAUGCAGGUUUUUAAUGGGAUGUGGGGGAGUGUUGCUCAGUUGUGGGAAGAUUUGUAAUAAUGGUUGGGACUGGGGAUAGAGCGUUACCUGAGGACGGUUUUAUUAAUGCCACAAAGCAUAAAGUUUAAAAAAAAAGAAAAAAGAAAAUCCAGGGGUGUCUUACUGUCAGAAGCUUUGGAACCAUGUUGAAUAGGUGCUGGGUAAAAUGAGACUGAGACCUGCUGGGCUGCAUUCCCAGGAGGUUAGGGAUUCGCAGUCACAGGGUGUUUACAGUUAAGGGAACAGGUUAAUAAUGUUUACCAAACAGACCCAGGACUUAACAGACCCAAGAAAUGUCUUGAUGUCCUGCUAUCUUAAGCACAAAAGCAUUCUUUGUUUAGUAAUAAAUUUUGCUUUAAAGAUAGUAAUAUAGAUUCUUGCAAAAGUCAGUAGUUACACAAGGAUUAACAAUCCUUUGUCAUGAGCCCUUGUAAUAGACCACAUCCUUUUCAUGAUUUUUUGCCUUGUUAUCUCAUAUAUAAACAUGCAUUGCACCUAAUAAGGUGGGCGCCUUACUCCUCUUGCUUUCAGAAAUGCCCUGCUCAGUCCAUGGAGCAACCAUUCUUUCAUUCCUUUACUUUCUUAAUAAACUUGCUUUCACUUUACUCUGUGGACUCACCUGGAAUUCCUUCUUGUGCAAGAUCUAAGAACCCUCUUUCGGGGUCUGGAUUGGGACCCCUCUUUCAUAACACUGGUGCUAGGAAUGUGAGCACAAGUGCAUGCCGGAGGAGUGGACAAAGGUCAUUCAGGGAAAGAAGACUGCAGCAUUUGCUCAUGGAGAGGAGCUGAAAUGGAGGUGAAAAAUCCACUAUUUCUGCUCAUCAUCCCUCCCCACAUGCGUAGUUCUCAGCUGAUUAGCAGAGCCUUGGAUGGAGGAAGACCAUACUGACACCCGCCUGAGGAAAUGGCAGGACCAAGAGGAGAGUGGGCUUAGGUUUUCCUCAUCCUAUAGGAGAGGAAGAAUAUCCUGACUGAGGAAGGACUUACAGUGGGGACUGUGAAGGGGAUGGAGUGGGAUGAGGAAGGGAAUUAGAGAAUGGGGAACAUUCUGCCCGAGGCGUUGCCUUCUCUUAUGUACAGAUAAUGGUAGCUCUCCUUUAUUUGAGGAGCUACUCUGUUCUAAGCUCUUUUACCUGGAUGGUCUUGUUUAAUCCUCACAGUAAUACUAAGAAAAGACACUAUUAUUUUCUAUUUCCAUUUCAUAGAUGAGCAACCAAAGGAUUAAAACAGGCGUGUGCAAUCAUUUGGCGUCCCUGGGCCGCAUUGGAGGAAGAAUUGUCUUAGGCCACACAUAAAAUAUACUA